rnacentral:rRNA from 1 species
GUGACUGCGUACCUUUUGUAUAAUGGGUCAGCGACUUAUAUUCUGUAGCAAGGUUAACCGAAUAGGGGAGCCGGAGGGAAACCGAGUCUUAAUUGGGCGUUAAGUUGCAGGGUAUAGACCCGAAACCCGGUGAUCUAGCCAUGGGCAGGUUGAAGGUUGGGUAACACUAACUGGAGGACCGAACCGACUAAUGUUGAAAAAUUAGCGGAUGACCUGUGGCUGGGGGUGAAAGGCCAAUCAAACCGGGAGAUAGCUGGUUCUCCCCGAAAGCUAUUUAGGUAGCGCCUCGUGAAUUCAUCUCCGGGGGUAGAGCACUGUUUCGGCUAGGGGGCCAUCCCGGCUUACCAACCCGAUGCAAACUGCGAAUACCGGAGAAUGUUAUCACGGGAGACACACGGCGGGUGCUAACGUCCGUCGUGAAGAGGGAAACAACCCAGACCGCCAGCUAAGGUCCCAAAGUCAUGGUUAAGUGGGAAACGAUGUGGGAAGGCCCAGACAGCCAGGAUGUUGGCUUAGAAGCAGCCAUCAUUUAAAGAAAGCGUAAUAGCUCACUGGUCGAGUCGGCCUGCGCGGAAGAUGUAACGGGGCUAAACCAUGCACCGAAGCUGCGGCAGCGACGCUCAUGCGUUGUUGGGUAGGGGAGCGUUCUGUAAGCCUGCGAAGGUGGCCUGUGAGGGUUGCUGGAGGUAUCAGAAGUGCGAAUGCUGACAUAAGUAACGAUAAAGCGGGUGAAAAGCCCGCUCGCCGGAAGACCAAGGGUUCCUGUCCAACGUUAAUCGGGGCAGGGUGAGUCGACCCCUAAGGCGAGGCCGAAAGGCGUAGUCGAUGGGAAACGGGUUAAUAUUCCCGUACUUGGUGUUACUGCGAAGGGGGGACGGAGAAGGCUAUGUUGGCCGGGCGACGGUUGUCCCGGUUUAAGCGUGUAGGUGUGUGUUCCAGGUAAAUCCGGUUCACUUUAACACUGAGGCGUGAUGACGAGGCACUACGGUGCUGAAGCAACAAAUGCCCUGCUUCCAGGAAAAGCCUCUAAGCAUCAGGUAACAUCAAAUCGUACCCCAAACCGACACAGGUGGUCAGGUAGAGAAUACCAAGGCGCUUGAGAGAACUCGGGUGAAGGAACUAGGCAAAAUGGUGCCGUAACUUCGGGAGAAGGCACGCUGACACGUAGGUGAAGUGAUUUACUCAUGGAGCUGAAGUCAGUCGAAGAUACCAGCUGGCUGCAACUGUUUAUUAAAAACACAGCACUGUGCAAACACGAAAGUGGACGUAUACGGUGUGACGCCUGCCCGGUGCCGGAAGGUUAAUUGAUGGGGUCAGCGCAAGCGAAGCUCCUGAUCGAAGCCCCGGUAAACGGCGGCCGUAACUAUAACGGUCCUAAGGUAGCGAAAUUCCUUGUCGGGUAAGUUCCGACCUGCACGAAUGGCGUAAUGAUGGCCAGGCUGUCUCCACCCGAGACUCAGUGAAAUUGAACUCGCUGUGAAGAUGCAGUGUACCCGCGGCAAGACGGAAAGACCCCGUGAACCUUUACUAUAGCUUGACACUGAACAUUGAGCCUUGAUGUGUAGGAUAGGUGGGAGGCUUUGAAGCGUGGACGCCAGUCUGCGUGGAGCCGACCUUGAAAUACCACCCUUUAAUGUUUGAUGUUCUAACGUGGACCCGUAAUCCGGGUUGCGGACAGUGUCUGGUGGGUAGUUUGACUGGGGCGGUCUCCUCCUAAAGAGUAACGGAGGAGCACGAAGGUUGGCUAAUCCUGGUCGGACAUCAGGAGGUUAGUGCAAUGGCAUAAGCCAGCUUGACUGCGAGCGUGACGGCGCGAGCAGGUGCGAAAGCAGGUCAUAGUGAUCCGGUGGUUCUGAAUGGAAGGGCCAUCGCUCAACGGAUAAAAGGUACUCCGGGGAUAACAGGCUGAUACCGCCCAAGAGUUCAUAUCGACGGCGGUGUUUGGCACCUCGAUGUCGGCUCAUCACAUCCUGGGGCUGAAGUAGGUCCCAAGGGUAUGGCUGUUCGCCAUUUAAAGUGGUACGCGAGCUGGGUUUAGAACGUCGUGAGACAGUUCGGUCCCUAUCUGCCGUGGGCGCUGGAGAACUGAGGGGGGCUGCUCCUAGUACGAGAGGACCGGAGUGGACGCAUCACUGGUGUUCGGGUUGUCAUGCCAAUGGCACUGCCCGGUAGCUAAAUGCGGAAGAGAUAAGUGCUGAAAGCAUCUAAGCACGAAACUUGCCCCGAGAUGAGUUCUCCCUGAGACUU